rnacentral:rRNA from 1 species
UAACAGGGGUAGCUUGCUACCCGCUGACGAGCGGCGGACGGGUGAGUAAUGCAUAGGAAUCUGCCCGAUAGUGGGGGAUAACCUGGGGAAACCCAGGCUAAUACCGCAUACGUCCUACGGGAGAAAGGGGGCUCCGGCUCCCGCUAUUGGAUGAGCCUAUGUCGGAUUAGCUAGUUGGUAAGGUAAUGGCUUACCAAGGCAACGAUCCGUAGCUGGUCUGAGAGGAUGAUCAGCCACAUCGGGACUGAGACACGGCCCGAACUCCUACGGGAGGCAGCAGUGGGGAAUAUUGGACAAUGGGGGCAACCCUGAUCCAGCCAUGCCGCGUGUGUGAAGAAGGCCCUCGGGUUGUAAAGCACUUUCAGCGAGGAAGAACGCCUAUCGGUUAAUACCCGGUAGGAAAGACAUCACUCGCAGAAGAAGCACCGGCUAACUCCGUGCCAGCAGCCGCGGUAAUACGGAGGGUGCAAGCGUUAAUCGGAAUUACUGGGCGUAAAGCGCGCGUAGGUGGCUUGAUAAGCCGGUUGUGAAAGCCCCGGGCUCAACCUGGGAACGGCAUCCGGAACUGUCAGGCUAGAGUGCAGGAGAGGAAGGUAGAAUUCCCGGUGUAGCGGUGAAAUGCGUAGAGAUCGGGAGGAAUACCAGUGGCGAAGGCGGCCUUCUGGACUGACACUGACACUGAGGUGCGAAAGCGUGGGUAGCAAA